GUGAAUCAUCAAAUUUUUGAACGCAAAUUGCACUCCCUGGCAUUCCGGGGAGUAUGCCUGUUUGAGGGUCAUUAGUACAAAAAACGUAGCGUCGCUCUUUAUUUUAAGGGUGAUCGCGUCGGAAUUUAGCCUUCUUUCAAUGGUUAAUGCAUGUAAAAGUGGCCUUAAUUUCAUCUAUCCGGUACGAUUAAAGCGU
rnacentral:misc_RNA from 1 species